UUCUCUCUCACUACAACAACAUACACCAGCUUCCUAAUUUCCAUUUAAAAUGGCUUCUUUCUCCAUUAAAGGCAAGCCCAUGGUGUUUCUUUUUCUUAUUGUUGAGCUGCUGACAGUGGUGUUCGGGUUCUCGGCGGAGGCCCCAAGCGGCAGUGAGCAGAGGGAAUUUGAUUACUUUGUGUUGGCUCUUCAAUGGCCAGCUACUUCUUGCAAAAACGCUGGCAAGUGUUGCCCAUCCAACGCCUGCUGCCGUGGAGCUGAUUCUCCCACUGAAUUUACAAUCCACGGAUUGUGGCCCCAGUAUAACGAGAAAGGAUGGCCAUCUUGUUGCACUGAUGCAAGCUUUAAUGAAAAUGAGAUUGGUAUCUUGGCUGAGGAUAUUCAAAAGUAUUGGCCGACUUACCGAUGUGGUACUUCGUCCACGUGCCAUAGGACCAAGGGAUCAUUUUGGGCCCAUGAGGUUCAAAUUAUUCCCCCUUUUACUCCUUUCCUUAAAUAGCUCAUCAAUAUCAAAGUUUUGAGACUGACAAUUCUUUUUCUCUCUUUAUCCCAUUAUUAUAUGAUGAUGACCAUUACACAUGUUACCAUUACUAUAGUACGAGAAGCAUGGGACAUGUGCAGCUCCCGUGCUUGUGGGAGAAUAUGAUUACUUUUUGACAGCCCUCACCAUCUUCUCCAAGUACAAUGUCACGAAAGUUUUGAGUGAAGGUGGAUUUGUAGCUUCCAAUACUGAAAAGUAUCCAAUUGAAGAUGUAAUAGCUGCAAUUAAGAAUAAAUUCUAUAAUGCAACUCCAAAGAUUACUUGUGCUAAAAAGGGGGUUGUCAAAGAACUUUGGUUAUGCUUUGACAAAAGCUUUGAGCCACGUGACUGUAAUCUACAGCAUUCAUGCCCCGAUUUCAUUAAGCUCCCAACAUAUGAACCUCAGGAGCCUAACAAGGUUGAGGGAGCAAUUCCAUGGAUUGCUGAUGUUGAAGAAAUUAUUUAACCUUUUUUUUCUAAACCAUAAAAGAGAUGGCUAGAGAAACCCUUUAAUUAUUAACAUUUUGGCCAUGUCUUUUGGGCAAUGCCUUUUGAUGUUAAGCUCACCCAAUUUCUUUGAGUUGAACGGUUCAAUUAUGCAUGUGGGUUUGCUUUUCCAAAUAAAAGAUGUAGUAGUUAAUAAUAAAACAAUAAAUUGAUCAAAUUGGAUGUGUUUUCAAUUUAUUA